rnacentral:rRNA from 1 species
GACGAACGCUGGCGGCGUGCUUAACACAUGCAAGUCGAACGGAAAGGCCCUGCUUUUGUGGGGUGCUCGAGUGGCGAACGGGUGAGUAACACGUGAGUAACCUGCCCCUGACUUUGGGAUAACUUAAGGAAACUUGAGGUCAUACCGGAUAGGAGCUCCUGCUGCAUGGUGGGGGUUGGAAAGUUUCGGCGGUUGGGGAUGGACUCGCGGCUUAUCAGCUUGUUGGUGGGGUAGUGGCUUACCAAGGCUUUGAAGGGUAGCCGGCCUGAGAGGGUGACCGGCCACAUUGGGACUGAGAUACGGCCCAGACUCCUACGGGAGGCAGCAGUGGGGAAUAUUGCACAAUGGGCGGAAGCCUGAUGCAGCAACGCCGCGUGCGGGAUGACGGCCUUCGGGUUGUAAACCGCUUUCGCCUGUGACGAAGCGUGAGUGACGGUAAUGGGUAAAGAAGCACCGGCUAACUACGUG